GAUAAAAUGGCUGAGUAUUAGGUAAUAGUUUGUAAAGCUAUUAAGGGGAAAUAAUUCUCUUUUAUCA
rnacentral:tRNA from 1 species